CUACGGGGGGCAGCAGUGAGGAAUAUUGCACAAUGGGGGGAACCCUGAUGUAGCAACGCCGCGUGGAGGAUGACGCAUUUCGGUGUGUAAACUCCUUUUAUAUGUCAAGAAAAUGACGGUAGCAUAUGAAUAAGCACCGGCUAACUCCGUGCCAGCAGCCGCGGUAAUACGGAGGGUGCAAGCGUUACUCGGAAUCACUGGGCGUAAAGGACGCGUAGGCGGGUUGGAAAGUCAGGUGUGAAAUCCUACAGCUUAACUGUAGAACUGCGCUUGAAACUUCUAAUCUAGAGUAUGGGAGGGGGAGAUGGAAUUAGUGGUGUAGGGGUAAAAUCCGUAGAUAUCACUAGGAAUACCUAAAGCGAAGGCGAUCUCCUGGAACAUUACUGACGCUAAGGCGUGAAAGCGUGGGGAGCAAACAGGAUUAGAUACCCCGGUAGUC
rnacentral:rRNA from 1 species